UCGAUAGCUUUUUUUUGGUAGAGGUAGUUUGGAUGUAUACGAUUUUGUGAUUACAGCCAGUUACACCCUUAUAACCAUUUAUUUUGAGCCAUAAAUACAGAGGUAAGGUGGAUGGAGUGUUGUCAUGUAGACUAUUGAGAUUUUCCAUCGUAUUGGCCUUCAUGUAAGCUCUUGAGUAUCUGAGUAGUAUUGCCUCCUCUCUCACUGCUGAAGUACCACAACAUGUCUUUGUCUGUUCGUAGAUGCCACAGCGCCCGUUAGGGUUGUGGUGGUCCUGGACCUCACACCCCAGCAGUUCCAUCAGUUAUUCCGGGACAACAUUACUGGGGUGCCUGAUGAAUUCGAACAUUGCCGGGUAAAUCGACAGCGGGAGGUGGUGCCCCUCACACAGCAGUGCCCAAUGGACAUUCAUACCCACCAGGCACUGCAACGGUCCAAUUUAUACCUUCGGCCAAAGAAUUCCACCAGUGAGGAACUCACAAUGAG